GGGGUAGAUGACUGCCUGGUAUGGAAUCAGUGUUCAGAAAGCUCUUCUGACUUCGAUGGUUGCAUAAAAGAGGUCACUGUGUCCGGCCAUGCAAUUGAUCUGGCGAGAAGUUUUAUCGACGCCAGGAAUGUAGAAAACUGUCGAAUAAAUGAACCAUAACUCUAA